rnacentral:rRNA from 1 species
UACGAAGGGGGCUAGCGUUGCUCGGAAUCACUGGGCGUAAAACGCACGUAGGCGGCUUUCUAAGUCAGGGGUGAAAUCCUGGAGCUCAACUCCAGAACUGCCUUCGAUACUGGCGAUCUUGAGUCCGGAAGAGGUGAGUGGAACUCCUAGUGUAGAGGUGGAAUUCGUAGAUAUUAGGAAGAACACCAGUGGCGAAGGCGGCUCACUGGUCCGGUACUGACGCUGAGGUGCGAAAGCGUGGGGAGCAAACAGG